CUAGCCUCUUCACUCCCUGUUGGUUUGUGCCACAGCUCUACUACCAUUUUACAUGUACUACUGCUACUGAACUUAAACAACAGGUUGCAUUUUCAAGGAUGCCAAUAUCUUCUUUAGGUUGCAGUGGUUCCCAUUCUGGUGAUCAUGGCCCACCAGCAAUCCAGGAUUGAUAUAUGUCCCUGUUUUAUUCUAAUGGAGAUACUGACAAAACCUGGACUGUUGGUGGGUCUUAAGGACUGGUAUAGGAUGCACUGGGCUAGAGCAUUACUUUUCC